rnacentral:rRNA from 1 species
UACGGUGGUUGGCAGGUGAGGUGAGGGUGCGGUGGAUGGGCCUCGGUGUCUAGAUCUAGCUCUGGGGGAGGUUGCCGCCGGAGGGCAGGGGGGAAGUAGUUGGAGUAGAGGAGACAGUCUCGUUGACAAGGUGAGAAACUCUAGAGUCGAGGGGGAGGGGGAGGAGGAGGCCGUUACGGAGGUACCCGCCGGUGGGGGCACGACGGCGACGAUUAGGAGGAGGACGACAACGACGAGCACGUCCCCUCUCCUCCGGUGCCGCGGUAGUGGUAGCGGUGGGACCUGUACCUGCAUCUGUACCCCCACCUCCGCCGCGUCUACCCGCGCCUUGGCCGCCGCGUGCCCGCCGACGACACCCGCUGACUGCCGCUCGCCUCCAUGUAGUCGAUACUACGCGACGCCCCCCUACGGUACGACACGAGGGCCGGUCCCCACGGGAUGAUGUUGACGGCGUAGUCGUGGUGGCGGUUGGGGAUGUGGCCGCCGACGCUCAGGUAGUGGGCGACGGCGCUGCUGCUGGGAAGGAUCCACCAGGCUGCCAAGUUCGCAGGACACCUACAUAGUCUCUUCCUUUAACUACGGCGCCCUCUACCGCUACACAACCAGUAAAACCUAGAGUCUCGGCUAGUUAGUAACUAGCUUCGACCUCACCGAGCUCUCCAACAUUUGUCUUAGGUCUUUAAUGCCCUCUGACGAGUCGAACUUGGAUGUCUGAAUUAACUACAAAUGAUGCUCAGACGUCUGUUGUCGUCGUUAUGUGAACUUCUUUAAAACGUCAGUGUCCUAGUCAUAUAAUCCCUGCACGAACCAUUAAGUGAUCAAGGUUUCCGUCAUCGUUGUAGUCUAUACCAUCUUCUAUCGCUGUCUCAAACUUCCAUACACGUUUCUAGAAGAGGAGGCAGCGGCAGGCGCUGUUUCGACAACCCACGUAGGCAGGUAGUAGAAAUCUAGACUCACUUCUCCCGUAGGCAGGUAGAGUUUUCCUAUACCUACUGGUAGACUUCCAUACGUCCAAAGAAGGAUUUGAAUUGCUGCUCUAUGAUCGACUUUCUUUACGAGAGAUGUUCCUUUCCAACUCGUCGGAUCACUUAAAUCAUGACUAGUACUCCACUAGCUGCGUCUGAUGGCGCUGAGCCACCCGCAGCACGAGAAGUUGUUGAGCCUCCGCCUGAAACGACACUUCGGGCCGCUGGCGCAGUGUGUCUACUAAGAGGUACACUAACGCUACGGCCUCCAGCGGCUCCACCUCCUGGAACUGCAGUGGCAGACCUCCAGCAGCUCCACCUCCUGGAGCUGCGGUGGUAGAGCUCCAACGGCUCCGCCUCCUGGAGCUGCGGUGGCAGAGCUCCAACGGUUCCACUUCCUGGAGUUACGGAACCAUCUAUGUAGAUCUCUUCACCAGAACAAUCCAACCACCACCUUGUGAUCCCUUCCAUGGGUGGAAAGCCACUGCCAACACACGCACACUACAUAUUUACCAUAGAGCACUAGAGAAACUCAACUCUACAAGUUAUAACAUAGGUACUUACAACGUUCACGA